UGCAUUUACACACACACACACACGCACACACACAUAUAUCAGUGUCUGUUACGUGUGUGUGUGUGUUUCACUUCGUGACAGACUUCUCACUUAACAGCUCCACCCCCUGCCGUGCAAACGGGAUCAGGAAAAACAACAUGAAACAAUUUAAGAACCAUGUCAGUAAGAGAAAGGCAGGAGACUGAAAGAGAUUAUCUCAUUUCCUUCACCGCUUGUCAUGCAAUUGGAAGCCUCUUUCUCAGCCUGUAGAGGACAGUAGAGGCAAGGUCACCAGAGUACAUCUUGAUGCAUGAAGUUCACAUACCAUCACUCACAAUAGAUUUGUCUCCUCCAUCACAGAAGAUCAACAAAACGGGCUCUUCCUUAUUUUACAUUUUAAUAUUUUACAUUGACUUGCGUUCUAAUUCACGUGAGCUUUUAUUUCCUUACUCUGGCAAGCAUGCAAGAUAAAAUCUAAGUGGGUUUCAUAUGAAUGUAUACCUGAGAUCUCCUUUAAGACUGCUCUUAUACUCAUAUCUCUACCAACCCAUGUUAUAAUAACAGACCUUAAAAGUAUUCUCAGUCCAUGCUGUUGGGAUGCCAGAGUCCACUGAUGUUCUACAGUUAGUAGAAUUGUGUAACUAUUUGCUGGCAUCUUCAGAUGAGACUAAAGAUACAAGAGAUAAAAUUUGGCCAGAUGUUUCCUAGAAUGAGAGGAAUUUCCGUGCUGGCACACUAUGGGCUAUCCAUAAAUACACCUCAUGCACGACAGGGCUGUCACUUUAAACAGUUGAGUGAGAGAAGCGUGUGUAAACUUCGGCUGAUUCUGGAGAUGCAAAUGGAUGUGUGUUUCAGUAUGCAACCUGGAAAGUUAAUAGAGUUAAUAUGAUCCCUUUUUGUGAAAUACCAUGUUUUAAUAUCAUUUGUUUGAUAUACGUAUUAAGGGCCAAAGAUGGUCUCCCAGUAACCUAGUAAAUCAAAAGACCAGAAAAGCAUUUUAGAGAAUCAACUCAGGUAUUCCCCAAACUGUAAGAUGAUUUUCUACAUGUAGUAACUCCCGUUACACAGUCCAGAAUAACACCAAGAUGCAAAAACUAUUUUGCAAAAGAAAAAAAAGGGAAAAAAGAAAUAAAUGUUAAGGUUUUCAUAUAUAAUCCACCAUAGAAGGAAAUAUACAUGUGCAUCAAUAUAAACAUUAAAAUGUGGGGCAGCCUGGUGACCUGACAAUGAACCACAACAUCCCCGGUUUGCGUCCAGUGCCAGAUCCUUUGUUUCAUGUCCUCAUUUCUCUCUUUUCCCAUUUUUUUCUGACACCACACACUCCCUCGUGACAUAAAAUCAAAAAUGCUUCUAAGCUAGGUAUAUUGAGACAGUUCUGUAAAAACCAAAAAACCCAAAAACAACAACAGCAAAAAAAAAAAAAAAAAAAAAAAGCAGAGUAGGAUAAGUAAACUCCUUUUCACAAAAGGUAUAAAAAUAGCUUCAGAAUUGUGCAGGGUUCAGCAGAAAGUCAGCAUAGCUCCACAUUUAUCAUUCAUCUCUUCUUUGUUACCCAUGAAACAACCACGUAGCGAAAGAGUCAGAUACCAGCCUUAGAUAAAAGUGUCAUGAUCCUGGGUCUUAUGACCCAGUGUUUUGAGUUUUAGUUUAUUUUGAUGUUUAUAGUAUAUGAUUAAGCUCAUUAGCUUUUCUAGUUCAUUUGUGUCUUCCAACCCCUGUUAAGUCUCCCUUGCCCUUCAUGUGUUUCAUGUCUGUGUCUUACAUUGUCAAGUUCAGGUUGUCAUGUCUGCGUUUCCUGUUUUAUUCUGAAGGGGUCCUGUGUUCCUAUGUUCAAUGUUUUUAGUUUACUCUCCCGUUGUGACAUUGUUAUGUUCAUGUGUGUCAGCUGUUUCCCCAUGUGUUUCCAUUUCCCUCAUUAUCCUGUGUGUAUUUAGUCCGUGUGUCUUCAGUCAUUCCUUGUCAGGUUGUCUGCUCAUCCACGUCACAACUUCAGGUAUCCAUGUCAGUUCACCAUGUUUAGUUUUAGUUCACCCAGUUUAGGUUAUUGUUUAGUUUCACCCAUGCCCUUUGCUUGUACCUUGUUUCCUAGCCUCAAUAAACGGCUUGUUUUUUGUUAAAUCCACGUCACGUUCAGUUUUUGGUCUGCGUUUAAGUCAUCUCUUGCAAACACAUACAGUCUGCCUCAGCCAGACUGUGA
ensembl:lncRNA